rnacentral:rRNA from 1 species
CAAAAACAUAACUAUAUGUAUUUAUAUAUAGCUAUUUCUGCUCAAUGAUAUUUAAAUAGCCGCAGUAAUUUGACUGUGCAAAGGUAGCAUAAUCAAUUGACUUAUAAUUGAAGUCUCGUAUGAAGGAACACAUGGGGAUUAACUGUAUCUUGAAUGAUAUUUAAAAUUACUUAAUGAGUGAAAAUUCUCAUAAUUAAAUAAUAGACGAGAAGACCCUAGAAAUUUUUAAUAUAUAUUAAAAAUUUAUUUUUGUUGGGGCGACAAAGUAGCAAUUAAACCUACUUUAAUUAAUCUGAUUAUAAUGAUAAGAUAAAAUAAAUUACUCUAGGGAUAACAGCAUAAUAUUUGAAAGUUUGUGACCUCGAUGUUGGACUAGGGACUAAUAGCCCAGAAGGCUACUUAUUUUGCUCUGUUCGAGCAAUUAUUCCUACGUGAUCUGA